rnacentral:lncRNA from 1 species
AGCCUGUUCUUGUCAACUGGAAGACAGUCGCUCAGCCUGCUUAGAACAGAGCAAGAUGGGUAGCCAGUGCAUCCUGUAUUUGGGACGUGGCAGGUGUGCAGGCCGCUUUCUACAAAUACCAGGUUCAAAGAAAGCAGGUGAAGGGCCCCUGCAGGGACAUGUACUGGGAACAGAGGGAAUGUGGUAUAAUGACCCUUUUUCUGCUCUCUCCUCUGAGGUAAUAGGUGGUUGAUGCUUCCAAAAGCAUUGAGGAUGUCCAUGAAGAAAUCCGUGCGCUCUCAGAGGACGCCAUCCAAAAUGCUGCACAGAGGCCACUGGAGGAGCUAUGGAAAUAAAUCAGAGCUUCCACUGCCAAUGCUGUUCUCUGGCUCUCCCACCUCAGCACUAUCCUCUGGCUCUCUGGGAGAGCGUAGAAGGCUCGCAUCUCAACACUGUUCCGCAGGAGCUAGUUCUUGGCAGAAGGGAUCUGUAAGGCUCCACACACAACUUGUUUGGGUGAUAAUGGACAAGUUGUACAAUAUCUCCCUCUGCCUACUGCUUGCCCGUAAUGUGCUGCUUCUAUUCUGAACUUUAGUAGGUAUUCUCAAGCAGUUUCCUUGAGAUAAGUUAAAAAAAGAAAAAAAAAAGAAAGAAAGAAAAAUAAAACCAAAAACAAAACAUAAUUUUUACAGAAACCAAUAAAAAACUUAACCUAAAAUGUA